CAGCAGGUUUGCAGUGCGCGAGGGCAUACAGAGACGCACCACGCGCAAUUUCUCUAACCAACAUCCAAUAUAAGAGGAAUAGACCGCUCGAUCAGGUCGGAUAACGUUAGAGCUUAUCGCUAUUCAUUUGGGAAUCGAAUCUUCGUAUUGCGCGUUUAAAGAUGGCCUAUUUUCCGGCAUUCAAAAGGACAGUGAAGAAGAGAUGAUGGAGUUGAACAAGUUUUUAGAGAGAAUGAUUGAAGACGUAGAACAACUACCAGCUGGCAUGGAUGGCCAAUGACAUGAAGAUGCAGUGGACCGGUCCUGAUCUGGGGGACUCCCUACGGAGGCUUCAGGAAGAGUUCCUCCGCUGCAGGGCUGUCAUCUGUGGCUUCCCUGGGGAACAGAACCCGACCCGGAGACAGGGACUGGGAAAGGACCGGGGGAUGGGGAAGUGGAUGGAGUGACCUAGACCAGGGGAUGGAUACCACCACCUCCCCACUUCACCAGGAAUGUCUGCUGUUCUGAAAUGGACCAUAAUCCAAAGCUAGUAGCCCGUGCUCUGUAUGCUUGUCUACAACGUUGUAUGUACAGUAGGCUACAGUCUCAUAUCUGCAGCUGCAGUCUCUUUCUCUAUGACAGAAGAGGAAACCACUGGAGAUAGAUGACAGAGAUCGAUGUCUCCUGUCCCAUACUGCAUGCUGUCUAAGCUGAGCAGCAGGCUGUUGUAUGGUGCUGUUGUAUACAGAUUGUGGUUGUGUGUUAAGUACCUGUUAUAGAAUGUGUAUGAUACGUCUCUGGACAGGGUGUUCAAGGCACUAUAGUGUUGUUGUGAUUGUUAUUCAUUUGUGGUUUGCCUGUUUGUCAAAUCUUUUAUUAAAAAGCUUGAAUGAGAAUGUUGACCAUUGGCAUGUUUAUUGGGAUGCCAAAUGCAUUUGGUAGAAUGUGCAUACACAUGUUGGCAUUCUAUAUCUUGAUAGUCAUAUCCCAGUCAUACCCCCAGCAGUCAUGGUAGUGUACACUUUCUACUUCACAGUUUGAAUUGUUCAGAGUAUUAGGCCUACGUCAAUGAAUAUGAGAUAUGAAUAUACCAGACUACUGUAUGGAUUUCUAUGUGAAUCAGUGGCCAUGCAGGUUGACAUGACAUAGCUGUACUGACUCAAUGCAA